GAACGCUGGCGGCAGGCCUAACACAUGCAAGUCGAGCGGUAGCACAGAGAGCUUGCUCUCGGGUGACGAGCGGCGGACGGGUGAGUAAUGUCUGGGAAACUGCCUGAUGGAGGGGGAUAACUACUGGAAACGGUAGCUAAUACCGCAUAAUGUCGCAAGACCAAAGUGGGGGACCUUCGGGCCUCAUGCCAUCAGAUGUGCCCAGAUGGGAUUAGCUAGUAGGUGGGGUAACGGCUCACCUAGGCGACGAUCCCUAGCUGGUCUGAGAGGAUGACCAGCCACACUGGAACUGAGACACGGUCCAGACUCCUACGGGAGGCAGCAGUGGGGAAUAUUGCACAAUGGGCGCAAGCCUGAUGCAGCCAUGCCGCGUGUGUGAAGAAGGCCUUCGGGUUGUAAAGCACUUUCAGCGGGGAGGAAGGCGGUGAGGUUAAUAACCUCACCGAUUGACGUUACCCGCAGAAGAAGCACCGGCUAACUCCGUGCCAGCAGCCGCGGUAAUACGGAGGGUGCAAGCGUUAAUCGGAAUUACUGGGCGUAAAGCGCACGCAGGCGGUCUGUCAAGUCGGAUGUGAAAUCCCCGGGCUCAACCUGGGAACUGCAUUCGAAACUGGCAGGCUAGAGUCUUGUAGAGGGGGGUAGAAUUCCAGGUGUAGCGGUGAAAUGCGUAGAGAUCUGGAGGAAUACCGGUGGCGAAGGCGGCCCCCUGGACAAAGACUGACGCUCAGGUGCGAAAGCGUGGGGAGCAAACAGGAUUAGAUACCCUGGUAGUCCACGCCGUAAACGAUGUCGAUUUGGAGGUUGUGCCCUUGAGGCGUGGCUUCCGGAGCUAACGCGUUAAAUCGACCGCCUGGGGAGUACGGCCGCAAGGUUAAAACUCAAAUGAAUUGACGGGGGCCCGCACAAGCGGUGGAGCAUGUGGUUUAAUUCGAUGCAACGCGAAGAACCUUACCUGGUCUUGACAUCCACAGAACUUUCCAGAGAUGGAUUGGUGCCUUCGGGAACUGUGAGACAGGUGCUGCAUGGCUGUCGUCAGCUCGUGUUGUGAAAUGUUGGGUUAAGUCCCGCAACGAGCGCAACCCUUAUCCUUUGUUGCCAGCGGUUCGGCCGGGAACUCAAAGGAGACUGCCAGUGAUAAACUGGAGGAAGGUGGGGAUGACGUCAAGUCAUCAUGGCCCUUACGACCAGGGCUACACACGUGCUACAAUGGCAUAUACAAAGAGAAGCGACCUCGCGAGAGCAAGCGGACCUCAUAAAGUAUGUCGUAGUCCGGAUUGGAGUCUGCAACUCGACUCCAUGAAGUCGGAAUCGCUAGUAAUCGUAGAUCAGAAUGCUACGGUGAAUACGUUCCCGGGCCUUGUACACACCGCCCGUCACACCAUGGGAGUGGGUUGCAAAAGAAGUAGGUAGCUUAACCUCCGGGAGGGCGCUUACCACUUUGUGAUUCAUGACUGGGGUGAA
rnacentral:rRNA from 1 species